rnacentral:lncRNA from 1 species
UUAGGGAUGAAAAUUUUGUAACAUUACUUUUGACAAUCUCUUCAAUGAAAAGCACAUUGCUUGAAAAAUAGCACUAUAUAUAUACCACAAGAAAAUAAUUAUAUUUAAUACGAGAAUUUUAUUCUUUUUGAGAUGGCUCAAUGUUUAUUUGAUGCAAAAAGUCUUCUCCUUAAACUUUGGCCUAAAGUUGUCAAUAUAUUGAUUUAUCUUGUAAAUAGAACUAUUAAUCAAUAACUGAGAAAAUUUACAUAUAAACUCACAUAUAUUAUAUAAAGCCUAGUUUGGAAAGAAACCUUUCAUUUAAAACUAUUAUGUUUUUGGAUCUCUCUCUUAUAUGUU